CACUGUAGAGCUAAAUUAGCAU
rnacentral:tRNA from 1 species